AGAGCGAACGCUGGCGGCAGGCCUAAUACAUGCAAGUCGAACGCACCUUCGGGUGAGUGGCGGACGGGUGAGUAACACGUGGGAACGUGCCCUUUGGUUCGGAAUAAUCCGGGGAAACCUGGCCUAAUACCGGAUGUGCCCUUCGGGGGAAAGAUUUAUCGCCAUUGGAGCGGCCCGCGUCUGAUUAGCUAGUUGGUGAGGUAAAGGCUCACCAAGGCUACGAUCAGUAGCUGGUCUGAGAGGAUGAUCAGCCACACUGGGACUGAGACACGGCCCAGACUCCUACGGGAGGCAGCAGUAGGGAAUCUUGCGCAAUGGGCGAAAGCCUGACGCAGCCAUGCCGCGUGAAUGAUGAAGGUCUUAGGAUUGUAAAAUUCUUUCAGCGGGGAAGAUAAUGACUGUACCCGCAGAAGAAGCUCCGGCUAACUUCGUGCCAGCAGCCGC
rnacentral:rRNA from 1 species